ACAUGCCUAUAACAUAGCGUUAAUGCAUCGGAUCCCAUUAGAACUCUGCAAUUAAGAGCGCUCAGGCAAGAGUAGUAAUGGGAUGGGCGAUCACAUGAUAAGUCCUAGUGUUUUACAUGCC
rnacentral:rRNA from 1 species